rnacentral:lncRNA from 1 species
UGGCAAGACGAGCAACAAGCUUACGUCAAGGCCCAUGUGCUCCGAUUGUUCGAAUUUUGGAGGCAUUUCCUCGAGUGCCGCUGCGGCUGCCCAGAAGAAAGUGACACAAGACAUAAUUGCCUUGGCAGAAUGGUCGCUGACAUCAUGAAGGGCCAGCAUAAGCAUUUGUAGUUUUGAUUAUGAAAAUAUAUUUGAACGUAUGCCUCA